AUUGAACGCUGGCGGCAGGCCUAACACAUGCAAGUCGAGCGGGAGUAGCAAUACUCUAGCGGCGAACGGGUGAGGAAUGCUUGGGAAUCUGCCUAGUAGUGGGGGAUAACGUUCGGAAACGGACGCUAAUACCGCAUACGUCCUACGGGAGAAAGGGGGGAGUCUUCGGACCUCUCGCUAUUAGAUGAGCCCAAGCGGGAUUAGCUAGUUGGUGAGGUAAUGGCUCACCAAGGCAACGAUCCCUAGCUGGUCUGAGAGGAUGAUCAGCCACACUGGAACUGAGACACGGUCCAGACUCCUACGGGAGGCAGCAGUGGGGAAUAUUGGACAAUGGGCGAAAGCCUGAUCCAGCCAUGCCGCGUGUGUGAAGAAGGCCUUAGGGUUGUAAAGCACUUUAAGCGAGGAGGAAGGUUCGUCACCUAAUACGUGGCGGAAUUGACGUUACUCGCAGAAUAAGCACCGGCUAACUCUGUGCCAGCAGCCG
rnacentral:rRNA from 1 species